rnacentral:rRNA from 1 species
GACGAACGCUGGCGGCGUGCUUAACACAUGCAAGUCGAACGGAAAGGCCCUGCUUUUGUGGGGUGCUCGAGUGGCGAACGGGUGAGUAACAUGUGAGUAACCUGCCCUUGACUUUGGUAUAACUUCAGGAAAUUGGGGCUAAUACCGGAUAGGAGCUCCUGCUUCAUGGUGGGGGUUGGAAAGUUUCGGCGGUUGGGGAUGGACGCGCGGCUUUUCAGCCUGUUGGGGGGGUAGUGGCUUACCAAGGCUUUGACGGGUGGCCGGCCUGAGAGGGUGACCGGCCACAUUGGGACUGAGAUACGGCCCAGACUCCUACGGGAGGCAGCAGUGGGGAAUAUUGCACAAUGGGCGGAAGCCUGAUGCAGCAACGCCGCGUGCGGGAUGACGGCCUUCGGGUUGUAAACCGCCUUCGCCUGUGACGAAGCGUGAGUGACGGUAAUGGGUAAAGAAGCACCGGCUAACUACGUG